rnacentral:rRNA from 1 species
UACUACCGAAGCUACGGCAUCAGUAAUGAUGGGUAGGGGAGCUUCCCAUACGGGUUGAAGCAUGACCGUAAGGACAUGUGGACAGUCUGGGAGUGAGAAUGUUGGCAUGAGUAGCGAGAUGUGGGUGAGAAUCCCACAGGCCGUAAACCCAAGGUUUCCAGGGGAAGGUUCGUCCGCCCUGGGUUAGUCGGGACCUAAGCUGAGGCCGAAAGGC